GACAGAGGGGGCAAGCGUUGCUCGGAAUUACUGGGCGUAAAGGGCGCGUAGGCGGGAUGGCAAGUCGGUCGUGAAAUCCCUCGGCUCAACUGAGGUACGUCGAUCGAUACUGCCGUUCUUGAGGGUUGCAGAGGAGACUGGAAUUCCCGGUGUAGCGGUGAAAUGUGUAGAGAUCGGGAGGAACACCGGUGGCGAAGGCGGGUCUCUGGGCAACUCCUGACGCUGAGGCGCGAAAGCUAGGGGAGCAAACAGG
rnacentral:rRNA from 1 species